GUCUACGGCCAUGUUACCCUGAACACACCCGAUCCCGUCUGAUCUUGGAAGCUAAGCAGGGUCGGGCCUGGUUAGUACUUGGAUGGGAGACCACUUAGGAAGACCAGGUACUGUAGCGU
rnacentral:rRNA from 1 species